UACGUAGGGCGCAAGCGUUAUCCGGAAUUAUUGGGCGUAAAGAGCUCGUAGGCGGUUUGUCGCGUCUGCCGUGAAAGUCCGGGGCUCAACUCCGGAUCUGCGGUGGGUACGGGCAGACUAGAGUGAUGUAGGGGAGACUGGAAUUCCUGGUGUAGCGGUGAAAUGCGCAGAUAUCAGGAGGAACACCGAUGGCGAAGGCGGCUUUCUGGACACUAACUGACGCUGAGACGCGAAAGCGUGGGGAGCAAACAGG
rnacentral:rRNA from 1 species